rnacentral:rRNA from 1 species
GACGAACGCUGGCGGCGUGCUUAACACAUGCAAGUCGAACGGAAAGGCCCUGCUUUUGUGGGGUGCUCGAGUGGCGAACGGGUGAGUAACACGUGAGUAACCUGCCCUUGACUUUGGGAUAACUUCAGGAAACUGGGGCUAAUACCGGAUAGGAGCUCCUGCUGCAUGGUGGGGGUUGGAAAGUUUCGGCGGUUGGGGAUGGACUCGCGGCUUAUCAGCUUGUUGGUGGGGUAGUGGCUUACCAAGGCUUUGACGGGUAGCCGGCCUGAGAGGGUGACCGGCCACAUGGGGACUAAGAUACGGCCCAGACUCGUACGGGAGGCAGCAGUGGGGAAUAUGACACAAUGGGCGGAAGCCUGAUGCAGCAACGCCGCGUGCGGAAUGACGGCCUUCGGGUGGUAAACCGCUUUCGCCUGUGACGAAGCGUGAGUGACGGUAAUGGGUAAAGAAGCACCGGCUAACUACGUG